rnacentral:rRNA from 1 species
AACGAACGCUGGCGGCAUGCCUAACACAUGCAAGUCGAACGAGACCUUCGGGUAUCGUGGCGCACGGGUGCGUAACGCGUGGGAACCUGCCCUUAUGUUCGGAAGAACUCCCCGAAAGGGGUGAUCAUACCGGAUAAUGUCUUCGUACCAAAGAUUUAUCGGCUUUGGAUGGGCCCGCGUCGGAUUAGCUGGUUGGUAGGGUAACAGCCUACCAAGGCGACUAUCCAUAGCUGGUCUGAGGGGAUGAUCCGCCAUACUGGGACUGAGAGCAGGCGCAGACUCUGACGGGUGGGAGCAGGGGGGAAUAUGCGACGAUGGGCGAAAGCAGGAGGCAGCAAUGCCGCGAGAGUGAUGAAGGCGGUAGGGUUGUAAAGCUCUUUUACUCGGGAUGAGAAUGACAGUACCGGGAGAAUAAGCCCCGGCUAACUCCGU